CAAAGAUUAAGCAUUGCAUGUACUACUGGCAGGAUC
rnacentral:rRNA from 1 species